UUUUAUGAACUGCCAUACCAGUGUGUCUUCAAUGGAGAAGAUGACACACCCAUCACCUGACCUCGUGCCUGAUCUGGAGACCAUCAUCAUGCUGCCACACUACACACCUCUGAGACCAUCAAUUAUGACUGAUACUGAGGAAACUGUAUUUCCUGUCAGAAAUGCUCAGUGAUCCUCAGAGCAGAGAGAGGUAUUGCUGUCUUCUGUGUUCUUCAGUGUUCCAACUGAGACAUUCAAACCUCAUUGCAGAGCUCAUGUCUUUCCUCACCAUCAUGUGAGUGUGAGAUUGCUCUGGAUUCUGGUUAUGUGGCCUGCAGCACCUAUAAGAACAAGCUCGUCCAGUGUGCCUGCAUUCCAGCUUCUUAGACUCUACGCAAGUGGACAGAGUAUCAGUGUUUGGCCACUCUUACAGACACCGACUUCUGUCAACUCACUUCUACUGAUCAGGCACUUCACUCCAAGAAGACAGAGGGUUGCAAGCCUGUCAUCGUUUCCAGUGUGGCUUUGUAUUCUUGGGGUAGCAUCAGAUUUUUCCCACAAAUAUUCAAAGAUUUAUAUGCAGUGAUUGGAAGUGGUGGAGCUUUGUUAACUGUGUGGAAAACAUCUGUUUGUGAUGAUAUUUACAAUGAGGCUUUAAGGUGACAGUUUCCAUGUUAUUUCAAUCCGUUUACUAAGCAAAAACAUGUUUGUAAUUAACAUAUUUUUUCAGUUUUGUCUUUUGGAUUUAUGGUUAACAUUCCUCUGUGACAGCAAAUACUAAACUGGUCCAAGUAACCAGCAUAUCAUUGGUCAAAGGCAAAAAGGACUACAUGUCACACUAGCAAUGAAUUUUUGACUGUUUGUGUUAGUAUAGAGUAGGUCUAAUAGUGGUUUUCCACAUCUGCUCUAAUAUAUAUAGAUAAUGGGUCAGACAUAUAAAG